UGUGGUAAAAUGUCCCUUAGGGGUGUUUAUCCUCAGCUGGUAGUCCAGACUGGUUUGACACCUGAGCUCCACUGCUCUCACUCUUUACAGCAAAUCUGCUUGUGAGCCAUUGAGAUUCAUCAAAUAUUUAAUGGCCACAGUUUCCGUGCCAUGAGAAGAAGGGGUUAGGGAGAGAGAACGAGAGAACAGAUAAACAAAAAGAGGUUGCUCCCACGGAAAUGGGAGGUCAGUGAGAUGGCGGGGACGGUUAAUGACGGCCAAGCAGCCCAAGUGUGAAUGAUUAUGUCUGACCAAAGUGGCAAGGAAGAAGACUCUUUACUGGACCAACAGGAAAAGCACCGUUAACCUCUUGUGACAAGUGGGGCGGGGCCGAGAGGAGUGGGAACAAGGAGUGAGGCCAGGUGUAGUGAUUGGAGAUGAGCUACACCUGCGCCCCACCGCCGGUCUCGAGUCCCACGUAGGAGAUGGAAGGAUAUAAAACUGGAGCGACGACCGUGAAGGACGAGAGAGGACCAGGCCUGGGCCAUUAUU